CGCGGGUUGGCGGAGCCUUCCCGGCUCCCAGAAAAGAGAGAAAAACCCAGCCUGUCUUUGGAAGCGACGGUUUGGAACUCGUCUUUGGAGGAGGGAGGGAAAAGGGAAAAAAAAUCAUCCUCUCCCAGCCUCUAGACCGUCCCCGGCUGACCCCGCGAGAGACCGUCUGAAAAGUUCGUCUUUUAGGGCUCUGACUUGAAUUAAAACCGUCAAACGAUGGGACGGCUUCUAGCCCGGCCGCGUUGAGGAACAACGCCGUCCUUCAGGGGCCCCUCUUGGAUUCCGCCGUCUUCCUCUCAGGAGUGAGUCCAGCUGGCGUGUACAUUGCGGUCAUGAAGGGUUUCCCCCCGCUCUCCCCAGCUAGAAACACAGCACGGCCCCUCGCCGCUUUUCCCACCGCUCACCAACGCCUCCCGGCCAGUCCGGCUUCUCGGCGCCGGUCGCGCGCCUCCCGGCCGCUCCCGCCGGUCCUCCUCGGUCGGAUUCCAGUGGGUCCCCCGAGGCCCACCCCUUCUCCGCAGCUUUCUCCACGACGAUCAGCACCCCCCGGCCGGCUCUCCUCCGGGUCCGGGAUUCCGUCGAGGGACCCCCGAUGCCCGGACUCGGGCUCCCGGGAACGCCCGACGUCCUGCCUCCCGGCCCUCCGGUGGCUCCGCUAGGCCCCGGGGAGGAGCCGGGGACUGGCCUUGGGCCCUUCCUGGCCCGGUCCGGCUUGGCUGAGAAGGAACAGUGCUCUGAACUCAGGAGUGCUCCCUGAGCACCACCCACGGAUUGCCGGUCCCAGAGAGAAUUCUGCUGUCAGACGCACCUUCUCGUCCAGCCCCCAAACACCGCCGCUAUUUACACCGGGCUGAACGGCCGCGGGGAGGUUAAUCUCUUCCCGUUCCGGGGCCCGUGACCCCUCGCGAAGGAGAGCCCGGCCGCAGCCCCCUCGCUCUAUCCGACUGGAGAACAACCCGCAUCCACUCUCCGACUCAGCUUUCAAAAACAACGGCAGGGAAUUUACGCCGACUGGUGACUCCAGGGAAAAUAUUUAUAUUUACAUUUACAUCCAUGUCUGUGUCCGGCUCUAGACCGUUAGCUCGUUCGUUCACUCGUUUAAUCUUACUUAUGGAGCGCGUACUGUGUGUAAAGCGCUCUACUAAGCGCUUGGGAGAGUGCAGUGCAUCAA